GCCGAGGUGGUGGAACUGGUAGACACGCUACCUUGAGGUGGUAGUGCCUAAUUAGGCUUGCGGGUUCAAGUCCCGCCCUCGGUA
rnacentral:tRNA from 1 species